rnacentral:rRNA from 1 species
GACGAACGCUGGCGGCGCGCCUAACACAUGCAAGUCGAACGGAGCUGAGAGAAGCUUGCUUUUCUUAGCUUAGUGGCGAACGGGUGAGUAACGCGUGAGUAACCUGCCCUGGAGUGGGGGACAACAGCUGGAAACGACUGCUAAUACCGCAUAAGCCCACGAUCCGGCAUCGGCUUGAGGGAAAAGGAUUUAUUCGCUUCAGGAUGGACUCGCGUCCAAUUAGCUAGUUGGUGAGGUAACGGCCCACCAAGGCGACGAUUGGUAGCCGGACUGAGAGGUUGAGCGGCCACAUUGGGACUGAGACACGGCCCAGACUCCUACGGGAGGCAGGAGUGGGGGAUAUUGCACAAUGGGGGGAACCCUGAUGCAGCGACGCCGCGUGGAGGAAGAAGGUUGUCGGAUAGUAAACUCCUGUCGUUAGGGACGGUAAUGACGGUACCUAACAAGAAAGCACCGGCUAACUACGUG